rnacentral:lncRNA from 1 species
AAACGGCAAACCAAUUUUAUAAGAAUAACAUAUAGUUUUUAUUUUGGAAGAUAAUGGUGAACCAUUUAUUAGUAAAUGGUUAACCAAAAAAUUCUAGAAAGCAAUUUAAUUGCAAACGGUGUACCAUUUAGCACAAACGGCUAGUUGAUAAUUUCUUGUAGGUCUUUGGAAAUAAAUGGCAAACUGACUCCCUCUAAUGUUAAUCCGACAAUUCAAAAUUUGCAUAACAGUAACUUAGACAAAGUCAAAACAGUGAUCUGACGGCAGUGAACGACGAUUCGAUUAUGCCCAGAAAGUCAACAACUCUAGUUUCAUUUCCAACUAUAAAAAGACUCAAUCAAAUUCAAAUUACAACAGAUUCCACAAUCAUUAUUGAGCUUGUUAUUUUGUAUUCGAUCUUGCUUUUGCUUAAAAACUUGUUAUAUCACAUUUUGGGCUUUCAUUUGUAAACACAUACAUUAUGUGAAGGAAAUUUGUGCAAUUUUUAUUUUAACAUCAAAUUGAGUAUUUGAGAGUGUGCAAAACACUUAGGUUGAGAGGUUUGGGAUAGCCACUAGGUGUAAAGGUUAAUUAAUACAUUGAAAGUCAAUUGUAAAGAUUUUGAAGCCUUAGGGUGUAAAGGCUUGGUUAAUGGAAUUCUCAAGUCUAGUGAGCUUGAAGGCGUUGAUGUAGGUAGGGUUGGCUGAACCAUGGAAAACCUCAUGUUCGAUUAUCUUU